GACGAACCGUCCAAACGUUAUUCGGAAUCACUGGGCUUACAGAGUUCGUAGGCGGUCUGGAAAGUUGGGUGUGAAAUCCCUCGGCUCAACCGAGGAACUGCGCUUGAAACUACCAGACUCGAGGGAGAUAGAGGAAAGCGGAACUGAUGGUGGAGCGGUGAAAUGCGUUGAUAUCAUCAGGAACACCGGUGGCGAAGGCGGCUUUCUGGGUCUUACCUGACGCUGAGGAACGAAAGCCAGGGGAGCGAUCGGG
rnacentral:rRNA from 1 species